UCAAUUAAAUUAAAAAGAGGGACGAAUGGCGAGCUAGGGUGCACUAAUAAGACGGAAAGCCCGAAAAAACGAGGGAGAAGUUUUGAACUCGGAUGUCUUCGCGGAAACGCAAAGAAAUAAACUGGAAACUGAAACAUCUAAGUACCAGGGCCAAUUGGCACAGAGAAAUCAAACGAGCUUCCGUGAGUAGCGGCGAGCGAAAGCGGAAAAGUCUUCAAUGAGUUAAUAGUGGAAGAUAGGUGUCUACACAUCUAAGACUAAAUGUUAGUGCACACCGAAAGAGAGAGUACUGUGAAGGAAGGCUGAAAGAGACUUGAAAAGAUCUUAAAAUAAGUCCCCUUAAGCAGACAUAUUAUGUCGUACCUUUUGUAUAAUGGGUUCGCAAGGAAAAAUUUGGCAAACUUAAGUUUAGAAAUGAAGGUGUAGUGAAAUCAAGGGGGAGCUUCCUCUUCAAGUCAAAUUACCCGAAACCAAGUGACCUAGCCCUGGGCAGUUCAAAGGAACGAACCGUUGAUUGUAGCAAAAAUCUCGGAUGACCUGUGGCUAGGGGUGAAAGACUAAUCAAACUUGGAGAUAGCUGGUUUUCUGCGAAAACUAUUGAAGUAGUGCGUCCAAGAAACUUAAUUUUACAUGAUAAAGUUCAAUCGCUCGGAGAGGGAUUAACUCUAAAUGUAAAAAAUUAAGAUGGAUAGACAGACAGUGGGCGAUAAGGUCAAUUGUCAAAAGGGGUAAGCCCUAAUCAGAAGUUAAAGCCACAGAUCAAAGUCUCUUAUCAAGUGUGAAAGGGAUGUGGAAUUUAGACAAUGAGGAAGUAGGCUUGGAACCAGCCAUCUUUGAAAGAUGACGUAAAAGUUCACUCAAGAAAUUUUUCUAUUCCUAAAAUUAUGGUGGCUAAAGUUGAGCUGAAACUCUGAGGGUGAAGAUAAGAAAAUAUAAUCAUUUGAAAAUUAUUUGCCCGGUAGCAGAACGGACUGUAAUAUUGGUUCGGCGAGAGCCCAACCAUCAGAAGUGAUAAUGCGAACAUGAGUAAAAAAUCGUUGGAUCACUCCCCCAAGGCUUCAAUUACAAAUUGGGCUAUACAGCCCCUAAGAUAGUAGCCCUCUGGCUGCGUCAAUGGGUCUUAUAAAAAACGCACGAAGUGCCAGGAAAGAUUUAUAAAUUUUUACUGUACUAGUCUAACGCAAGUGGGGUGAAGUGAGGAGAGAACUUCUCUUAAGGAACUCGGCAAAAUUUGGGCUUCGACUGUUUACCAAAAACAUAGCUCUCUGCUAAAGCUAAAUGCUGAAGUAUGGAGGGUGAGGCCUGCCCAAUGGUUGUAUCUAAAAGAGUUGGCUAAGGUCAACUUCAUAAGGGCAAUUGAAUGGCCGCGGUAACACUGACCGUGAUAAUGUAGCGUAAUCAAUAGCCAAUUAAUUGUUGGCCGGUAUGAAUGGCGUUACGAAGGCCCCACUGUCUUAAGAGGACUCUCCAUGAAAUUGAAUUCGUAGUGAAGAUGCUACGUCCAUAUUGUAAGACGAAAAGACCCCAUUGAGCUUUACUAAAGACUUGCAUGGCUAAAAAUAAUUUAAUUUAAAUAAAAAGUUUAGAUAAUGUGGGAUCCGUUUCCGGUUAAUAAAACACCACUCUUUUAUUUUAAGAGAGCUAACAUCGCAGGGAUAAUGUAAGUUGGAUAGUUUGGUUGGGGCGACCACCUUUUAAAAGGUAACGAAGGUGAGCUUAAGGUCCGUAGUUAAUAGCCGGUGGCCUGACUGCAAGGGGGACGUCUCGAGCAGACACGUCCUUAGGGAUGUGGGCUAUAGUGACCCGUCAUCUUAGCGUGGAAUAGUUGACGAUCAACGAAUAAAAGCUACCAUGGGGAUAACAGCGUUAUAUCGUUAGAGAGUUUCAUCGACGACGAUGUUUGCGACCUCGAUGUUGAAUUGCGGCACCCUGGGGUGCAGCCGCCCCCAAGGGUUGGUCUGUUCGUCCAUUAAAGCCGUACAUGAUUUGAGUUAAAAGCGUGGUAACACAGCUUGGUUUCUAUCUACAAUAUGAAGAAACAUCGAUAUAAUUAUCUUCUAGUACGAAAGGACCGAAGAAUUAGCGAUCCUCUUAUUUUUACAAGUUACGAUCGAUCCAUUGGCCCCCUAGUCCGAGAUCUCACAGUUAAUCACUGAUUGCCUCUUAAGUGUGAAAAUUAUAUCGAACUGUUUGAUGUGAAGUAAAAUUAUAAUUAUG
rnacentral:rRNA from 2 species